AUUUUUGUGUAAAGUCUAAUUUAAUAGCUUUAAAUAUUUAUUAAUUUUUAUAUUUUGUAAGAUAUCUUAGUGAAGAAAGAAAUAAUAUCACAUAUUAUGAUCAUUUUACAACAAUUUGUAAGAAAUGUGAACAAUUUUGUUAUGUUUAAAUGUAAAUUGAGUGCACCGUAGUUUAAACAUGUAGAUCUAUAUGAGUAUCAUUUAGCCGACACAUUAAGUUUUCUCAUAAUGUAUUAUAAGGUACCACUUUUAAGAAAAUUACCCAAGGGGCAAUGAAGAUCAUCACAUUAUUUGAUACCAAGAUUUUAUGGUACAAAUCUUUUCUUUUUUUGGUAUAUAUGUACAAGGUGAGCAACUGAGAUCUUUAUCAGCUUUUUUUUCUUCAUACUAAUUCCUAAGUGUUUUGUACAAUUCUCAAUGUAAGGAAAUAAAAUAAGAUUCUCCUCAUCAAGAAAAUUUAAAUUGUAACAUGAGAUUCUAAUUAUCAAGAAAAUUUAAAUUGUAACAUG